rnacentral:rRNA from 1 species
UACGAAGGGGGCUAGCGUUGUUCGGAUUUACUGGGCGUAAAGGGCGCGUAGGCGGGCUGAUCAGUCAGGGGUGAAAUCCCAAGGCUCAACCUUGGAACUGCCUUUGAUACUGUCGGUCUUGAGUUCGAGAGAGGUAAGCGGAAUUCCUGGUGUAGCGGUGAAAUGCGUAGAGAUCAGGAGGAACACCUGUGGUGUAGACAGCUUACUGGACGGUGACUGACGCUGAGGCACGAAAGCGUGGGUAGCAAACAGG